rnacentral:lncRNA from 1 species
AUGACAGUGGAGAAGAAAUCCUUACAGCAGCAGCUGCUGCCAGGUGAUUGCACUGCACCAUCAUGGCCUUCUGCAGAGAAGCACAGCUGCAUCCUCACCUUGCCUGAUGCAUCCAAACUGUACAGCUGCUGUUCAUUCCCACCUCCCAAGAUGGACUUUGAAGGACAGAAGAACCUGAGGAUGUGGUUCAGGAGAAAGUUUUGA